GUAAAGUUGGUGCUGUAAUUCUAGAGGGUUCUUGGUCCUGCCUGAAAUCCUUUGUAGAACAAGAGAGUUGAAGAGAAUGAAGAGAAACAUAUUGAGCAGGAGGAAGAAGGGCUUGCCAGACCACAGGAGACCAAGUAUAUGAAAGAGCUUUGGAAAACACAAAGUGCUGUUCAGCUCCUUAAGGCAGCACUAUGGCAGAAACAGUUACUCCAUAUUAGGGAUUUGGGAUUUUGGUUACCCUGGAGGGUCACUUAAGACGUUUUGAACUCCCCAUUGCUAUUGAGUGAAGAGUGCCACACAUUACAACGGGGCCAAUGUGGGCUUCCUUUAUAAACAGUGAGGAUUCCAAAGCAAUCCCGAAGGGAGGAGGGUAAGCUGCCCUGAAGCAUGGGCUCCAGGCGCCAGGAGAAACGGAGCUGUCUCCCUGCUUUUGGAUGCCAAGACAUCAACACUUAAAGCAGCCACAGGGCAAGUUUGAUUCUGAACCAGCAAAGCAGAGAAAGAACUCAAUUGAGAUGCCCUGCCCUGUAGGCUAGCUUCCUGCUGACGUGAAUGAGAACUUCACACUGGUAAGGAGCUGAGGACUGGCUCGUAAAUUUUAAGUAUCCCUUGGGUUUUCUUAUGAGCGAAUCUGCUGUCCUUUUGGCCUUGGAAGCAGAAUUAGAGGCCUUCUAGUCAGACCUAAGUGAUGGGCAGAAAAAAAAUGGAAAACUGUUUCUGAACACCAGCAAAAUAGCUCUUUCUGAGUCUACAAAGCAACUUCUAGGACUCUAAAGUGAGGCUCUCCCCUACCCUCAUGGCAUAACUCUCAGGAACUAUAAGCACUGAUUAAUUUAGCCCCUUCACUUGCCUCUCAUUAAUGGCAAAUAUCAGACUGCCUUUGUGGGUAGAACACUCAAGAACAUUUUCUUGAAACAAUGAGAGAAAAAUGCAGGGCCUUUCCAUCCCUGCAUUCUUCCAUAACCCCCAUUUUUCACUUGGGUGAGGUUGAGUGGGUUUCUUUCCUUAGGUGACUCAGACACUACCUGUGUGGUUGUCGGUGCACACACAUGGGUGAUUGUGCUGAAGCUACCUGGACUGGAGACAAGAAUGUGUGUCUUGCUAACCCGUGGAUGAUAAUUAAAUUCAUGGAAGCAGCAGCAAUGACCCAGGAGCACGUAUAGCUGGAGAAGAAGGUCAGAGGUAGGGUGUGACCAGGAAAUAGAUUAACAAAAUGGGGAGGAGGGAAAGAGGAUGGUGUCACUUCAUAAACCAUGGUGUGGUAGAGGGGAGGCACACCGGACCUUUUUGGGGAGUCUACUACUCUAAAGGCUCUUCCUCUGGGCUAGCCCAUAAGAGAAAUAUAUUUGUUAUUUCCUAGCAUUUUUCCAUGGUUAUUGGUCUAUGUGGACUCUUGUAGGGUAAGUUUUAGUUAUUUAUAUUUGCCUAUUUCCAAAAUAGUGGAAUCACACUACAUAUUGAGGUGUGUGGGAUCUGCUACUAUCAUCAUUGUCUCCAACAUAUACUUUUAUCUUUUCUGAUUGUAAGAAUAAUUAAGUUACAAAUAAUUAUUUAAAUAAGCAAACAAAAAAAUAAAGAGACAUUCACGUGGCAGAAUCCAGCAUAACAGAUAAAAGAAAAUAUAUACUCCUAUGGGAAGUUCUCAAGAUAUAUUGUUCAGCUAAAAAAACAAAACAAAACAAAACAAAAGCAAAGUAAAAAACAUAUUGUCUUUUGUAUAAAGGGAGGAAUAGAUAAUGUAUAUUUAACUCAUCUUAUUUAUGCAUGAAUUAAUUUUGAAAGCUUACACAGGAAACUAAUAACAGUUUUCUGGGUGUGAAAUUGGGUGCAUGGAAAAGCAGGGAUAGGAGAGAGACUUUUCUGUAUAUCUUUUUCAUUUUUUGUGCUGUAUGAAUAUAUUCCUUGAAAAAUUAAAAUGGAAAUUGUGCAUUGUGGAAAAAUUAGGAAAUUGAUUAAAG
rnacentral:lncRNA from 1 species